UGGGGAAUAUUGCACAAUGGGCGCAAGCCUGAUGCAGCCAUGCCGCGUGUAUGAAGAAGGCCUUCGGGUUGUAAAGUACUUUCAGCGGGGAGGAAGGGAGUAAAGUUAAUACCUUUGCUCAUUGACGUUACCCGCAGAAGAAGCACCGGCUAACUCCGUGCCAGCAGCCGCGGUAAUACGGAGGGUGCAAGCGUUAAUCGGAAUUACUGGGCGUAAAGCGCACGCAGGCGGUUUGUUAAGUCAGAUGUGAAAUCCCCGGGCUCAACCUGGGAACUGCAUCUGAUACUGGCAAGCUUGAGUCUCGUAGAGGGGGGUAGAAUUCCAGGUGUAGCGGUGAAAUGCGUAGAGAUCUGGAGGAAUACCGGUGGCGAAGGCGGUCCCCUGGACGAAGACUGACGCUCAGGUGCG
rnacentral:rRNA from 1 species